UCAUAAAUCAACCUCAAGGAGAGAGUAUGCUGAAUCCCUGUUGCAUAGCACUUAGAUCAUUCUUGUUCAGCUCGAGUGUUGGUAAUCUUUUGUCUUUGAGAAUGAUGAGGAAUUAGUGAGAUUAGAAAAUAUUUAGAAAUUCAAUAGAACUUCUGGGUCUGCAUUUUGUUGAUUUUCAAAUGAAAGUUCAAAUAAUUUGUACUUUCUGUCACCUACUACUUAAUAUUUGGAAGAUAUUUCCUGAAACAUCAGAAAUGUCAGCCUGCAGAGCAUACCUAGGGUAGUGAGCUGGAGAUUGCCUUUUUUUGGAGCAGUGGGCAGCAAACUCUUUGGUAUCAGAGAUCUUGAGGUGGGCAGUGUCACCAGUGCAUCCCCUCAGGCGCCUCCUCUCUGAAAGGAACCUGGCCAAGGGACCCCAAGGUGCUGGACUCCACUGUGAGAAGUAUUCCAGCUCAGCCUGAAAGGAAGGUGUGGAUCUUUGGAUAAUGUGAAGGACAUCUCAGAUCUGACUUUUUCUCUGGAUGAAGGACUCAAUCUUACACCAGGAUUCA